rnacentral:rRNA from 1 species
UACGGAGGGGGCAAGCGUUAUUCGGAAUUAUUGGGCGUAAAGGGCGCGUAGGCGGCUAGAUGUGUCAAAGGUGAAAUCCCUCGGCUCAACUGAGGAACUGCCUUUGAAACUGUCUGGCUUGAGGCCGGGAGAGGGUAGCGGAAUUCCCAGUGUAGCGGUGAAAUGCGUAGAUAUUGGGAGGAACGCCAGUGGCGAAGGCGGCUACCUGGACCGGUUCUGACGCUGAGGCGCGAAAGCGUGGGUAGCAAACAGG